CUUAGUUACUACCCAGCCCACAGUCAGGCCUUGGGUUGGCUUACCCUAGCAUCUACCCCAUCUAGGACCUGCUGGAGCUGUGAAGGGACUGGCCCUGUGAAACAAUACCCGCAGGAUCUCCAAGACUCAGUAUGGCAGCAAGAUAUCCCAGAGGAGUUCCCGUGAGGAUCCGGUGAUGAUGGUGUACCAGAAACCAGAGGCCUGGAACCAGACCAGUGACUCACUGCAAGAAGCAUUCGCUAGUUAAGCUGAUAGGACAAAAGCGUGCCCUGUGCGACACAGCGAGACCUCCAGUGCCACCAGGACAGAUGAAGAGGUGUUGGAGAGUUACACAGUCCAGGAACCCCUGCCCAGAGAAGAGUCCCGCCCAUGGCAGAGUCCAAGGACCUGGAGCUGUGCCUGACUCGCCCUGCCUCAUCUGACCCUCGAAGCAGCCCAGUGGGACAGGUGAUGUCACCAUGCCCAUGUCAUAGAUGGGGAAGUUGAAAGACAGAGAAAGAUUUCUCUGAAGUAACACAGUGAUUCUGGGGAGAAAAAUCCACCCCAGGGAAGCAGCAGCCUCCUCCUAAAAAGUGCUCAGAGCAAUGUGCUGCUCCCGACUGUUCUUAGCACAUGGUCUCUAGAGGUGAGGCAGAGUUCAGCCCGUGUUUUCACAACACAUUUCAUUCAACUUGUAGCUGAAAAUCAACAAUAAAGUAACUGCUACAGAUGAGCACGUCCCCCGGUCACCAUACGCUAGAACUUAACCCCUUGUGUAGCGGUGUGGAAGUAGGAGCUCUUACAAGCAGGCACAAUACCUGUACACAUAAAACAGAAUCAAAGCUUUCAAAAGAAAAGGUUCGCAGAGGAGAGGAACACCUUGAAGAUGAGGCGUGCCAUCGCCAGCCAGCAGAAGUUGACAAUGAUGGAUGGAGAGCAGUCACAGAACCUCUCACAAAACCACACGAGAAGCUGCAGCCAACUCCAUGUGGGCUACUUGACAAUUGCUUGGUAUUAGAAGCCAAUGGGAAGGGUGAUAAAGGUGGACAGGUGGGCUCCUCAAGAGCUGGUUAAAACAAACAAAAUUGUCAUCUUGAACUGUCAUCCUUUUAUCAUACGAACCAACAAUGAGCCGUUUCCCAGUCAUAGUGUGAGAGGCAACAGAAGCUGGAACGGAUACUACUGACUGUGACCAGCUCAGUAGCUAGGCUGAGGAGACACCCUGAAGCCAAACAAAGGUCAUUGUGAUAACAACACGGAUGAGCGAGUGAGCAUCUCGGCAGCAGGAUACAGACCCCUUUGGGAAUAUGCCCAGGAACGGUACAGGGUCAGGUGGUAGCCUGCUUCUAGCUUCUCCAGGGACCAGCCUGGAUGAGAAGGCCCCCAUGGGCUCGUGUAUUUGAAUGCUUGGUUCUCAGUUGGUGGAAGGAUUAGGAGGUUGGAAGAGGCGGUGGUGUCACCUCAAAAGACUUGUGCCAAUUCCCACUGUUCCUUCUUGCUCUCUCUCCCUCCCCUUCUUCCUCUCCUCUCUCCCUCUCUGCCUCCCACCUGCAGAUCAAGAUGGGAGCUCCCAGCAGCUGCUGGACCUGUUCAUGUCUCUGUGCCUUUGCUCUGCCACCCUGUACU